ACGCUUAACCGACUGAGCCACCCAGGUGCCCCUCUUCCUCUUCUUGUAAGGACACUAACUAACCCUACCAUGGGACCCCACACUUGAUCACAUCUGAACCUAAUUCUCUCCGUGAGACCCACCACCUAAUGCCAUCACACUGGGGAUUAGGGUUUCAGUGUAUGGAUUUUGGAAGAGCCAUUCAGUCCAUAAUAGUGUCCUUAGGGUUCUUACAAUUUACCCCAAAAGAUUGAAAAAUGGCUUGGUUCCCAGGGCCCAGUUUUUUUCAACUUUCUGGUGGCUUAUCCACUCAGAGUGAAGAGUCCCUGUGGCUCUGGGGACCUACACUCCAGGAAAAAUUGGGGAGGCAUGAUCAGAGGGUCACAGAGCCCCAGGUGCAUCCAUGGGGAGGUAGCUGUCACCUGGUAUUUAUGGGAUAGAUGGGGGCGGGAUCUGGGAAGGUAGAGAAGUAUGGGACAUGACUCUUCACACAGGAUCACACAGUUAACUUGUCAGAGCAGGGCCCAGAAAGGGUCCCCAUCCCAGAGCUCAGGCAAUCCCUUGGACGCUACCUGCCCCACCAUCUGCUGGCUCUGGAGGCCAAGCCUGGAAACUGGCAUUGAGAGCUGGUUGUCUCAACCAUAAAACUGUAAAAGUCAGUGCGUUUUUGCUGGGGUUCCAACAGUUCUGUUUUGUAAACUUCAGAAUGCUUUAGAUGCGUGACCCGUAUAUUUAGAAAAGACAAACCAAAUUCUCAUUAUUGAUAUGCAUCAUUGAUAUUUUAAAUUACACAUAUUAACAAUAAUAACAGGAUUAGGCUCAUGGAAUCCCAGAGCAAGCAAGGUUCUUCCGUGCAGCCUUCCUUAUCUGCUUGCUGGCAUCCCCUGGUCCCUAUCUGUGCCAAGUGGUAUUAAUUGCAUUACAAAUGACAAGUGCAUUUAAUUUCAGAAUUCUCCUAGUGAAGGGAGCUACUCAAGAAGGAAUUCUCAUGCCUGUACACCACCCAGCCCAGCGUUCACUGGCUCAAGCCCCAGGCCCAGAGGAUCCAUGGUGGGAAGUGACUGUCCAUCACUCUGACCUUCUUGGAGAACACAGAGCUCUAGAGACCCAAGACAGACCAGAGUUGCCAUACCCUGAACUGGGGUCCCUGUUGAAGUUUCCAGGAUGUUCACUAUCCUUCUGUCAAGCUGGUCUUGUUCUUCAUGGCUCUGAGAAGAAAAGGAAGUGGGGAGGUACAGGGGAUAGCUGGCAUCCUCUGUGGCCCCAGAGAAUACUUUGUUCUAGAUUGCACCAACAGAGGAUCUCAGAAAGUUUUAGAAAUUUCCAGAUCUCUCUGCUACAGACCCCAGGCUGGCUGUAAAAAGUCAGCAACCAGCACCUGCAACCAUCAUGGACAGUUUCAGUAUCCCUUACCUAACUCUGUUUGCCCACGACUGGUGUAAGAGCCCUCUAAAUCCAUCCAUGGCCCCAGAUCUCCCCCAGCACCAGUGUUCUGAUACCUGGGUUUAUUCCUUUCAGGGAUAAAAAUACCCCCUUAUUAGAACUACAAUAACUUAUAGGGAGGUUUUCCCACUAGGCCACAGAUACCAAGUCACUGGUGACAGAACAAGGCUCUGCUCAGAAAGGCAGACGGCCAUCAGUCCCUCACACAGAGAGCAGAGGCCAGGGAGCCAGCACAUGAAUGACAGCACCCUCCUUCCGCAUCUGCCCCGAUAUCUUGUGUCUGUCCCUCCAGUGCAGGCCCACCAAAAGUUCCUGGCUGAAAGGUGAUCUUAACCUGCUCUUUUGAGCUCACACCACCAAGUCACAGUGAUAACACACAAAACACCAUUAAAUCUUUUAAAGGAGCCCAGUUGACUGGGCAAACUCCUUGGGCAAAAACAAAACAUCCAGCGUCUUCUAAAGGCUGCAGGUGAAGCUGAAGGACUCUUGCCACUUUAAAGUGUUGGCUUCGAUGCUGGUGGCAAAUAGAAAACUCUUUAGAUUACAGCUGAGAUUUGGGACAAGGAGAUUCAGGGCAGCAAUAGAAGCAAAGUCAUCUGGUUAGGUAGGGGGUCUGUGCCAGGCAUGAGAAAGUCAGGCAGAGGGCGCCACUCUAACUUCUAUUCCCAAAGCAAUUACAGAUGGAGUUUAAAAAUAUGUCUUGAGAGGCACCUGGGGGGCUCAAUCGGUUCUGCAUCCGAUUUCAGCUCAGGUAAUGAUCUCACAGUUCACGGGUUUAAGCUGUGUCGCUCUCAGUAUGUACUGACAGCUCAGAGCCUAGAGCCUGCUUCGGAUUCUGUGUCUCCCUCUCUCUCUCUGCCUCUCUCUCUCUCAGAAAUAAAAUAAUACAUUUUAGAAAUGUGUCUUGAAUUUGUAGGUGGUCUUCUCUCCCUCCUAGCACACAACCAUUUCUUUGGGGCUGUCCUUGUUUCUACAACAGAACCAGAAGGCAAAAAGUGGACAUGGAACCAUAAGUAUGUCAGAGAGCAUUCUAAAAUCUCCAGAGAACUUAGACAACAUCCUCUUCCUCAAAAAAGCACAAACAGACACGCCAUGUCAUUUUUGGGAAGGAAACUGAGGCUGAAGGUUGAGCUGAGGUCCAGCAGUCAACACACUCUAAGAACCAGAGCAAUAUAGAGAUGUCUUUCAUCACUGUGGGGCUGGCACCAAAGAGCCAGAUCCCUGGCCAGGGUGGACUUCCUAAUGUGGCCACAGUGAUGUGCAAGAAGUUUCACAAUGAUAAGAGUGACGCAGGCCUGCUUGCAUGAGUUCUGAUUGUUCCCCGCUGUGUUAACACCCAGAAUGAGUACUUCCAGCUGUUGAAAGAUGUCAGCAUAUUUAUAUGAACUGCUUCAUGGCUCCUAGGGAAAUUUCCUGAAGCAAAGACCGCCAGGUUCCUGAUUCUGUGGAGAUAUGACUGGGCUUGCAUUUAAUUUUCUCUGGGGAAAAAAAUGUAUUUAUUUCAAUAUGAUAUUAUUUCCAAUAUUUAGCCUGCAAUCAAAGUCGUAUAUUAUGAUAACGAACUUGGAAUGGAUAGCUCAAUUGACUCCUCUGCUGGUCAUCAUAGUUUUAAUUGUGAAAAUAAACUCUCUAGAGGUGCUGAAAUAUUGGGGAAGAUUAGAGUGCAUCUGCUAAAUGCUGGAAUUUUAUUUUUUGAAAUUAAAAUGCAUAAUAUCACCCACAAAUAUUUUCAAAUAUGUUUUGUUUUAUCUCUAAUGCUUACCUGUCUUCAACAAAUAUUUUUCUGAGACAAAAUUGAUUAAAUAAAUUAUCUCUGAAGCUUUUGAAUAUUUCAUUAAAUUUAAAUGCUUCAAAACUGUAGGCCUUCACAUAAGCCUAUGUUUCUAACAUAGACAGUAAACGUGUCCAUAUAAAAACAGGAGUUGCAGGGCGCUAGGUGGCUUAGUUGGCUGAAUGUCCAAAUCUUGAUUUCGGCUCACAGUUCAUGAGAUCAA